CCUGGUUGAUCUUGCCAGUAGUCAUAUGCUUGUCUCAAAGAUUAAGCCAUGCAAGUGAAAGUAUAUAUAUAUUUUAUAUGUAGAAACUGCGAACGGCUCAUUAAAACAGUUAUAGUCUACUUGACAUUUUUAUUAUAAGGAUAACUACGGAAAAGCUGUAGC
rnacentral:rRNA from 1 species